rnacentral:tRNA from 1 species
GCCCGGGUAGCCCAACUGGCAGAGGCGUUGCGUUCAGGUCGCAAAGGAUGGGGGUUCGAAUCCCUCCCCGGGUA